UGCUUCUUUCUUGUCCUGCAUUCAGAUUCAUACAUCUAACAGUAUAUGUAAUAAACAUAGUGUAAUGAAUGUUUACCAAAAAUCAUAGGUAAAAAACAAAGGUAAAUAGUCUAAUCAUAGAUCUCAAUAACAUGAAAUUGUUCAGGACAAACACAGUCCAAUUUAACAUGGCAAAUGAUCAUUUUAAAAAUAUUAAAAAAAAAAAACCACAAUAAUGUGGUAAUAGUUUGUAGUAUCCCAGAACAGCUCAGAUUUUUUCUUGUUUAACCACCACAGUUUUUCCCUUCUUGCUAGAGGAUGAAAACUGGUCCAUAAGCGAUCGCUUCACACCAUCUGCCUCUGAAUGAUCAUUGUCUAGGCUUUGAGACUGAUGUAGAUUUAAUGGACUGUUGACCUCAUUGUCUCCAUUUGAAGCUUCCUGCAUAUUAAAAUAAAGUUUAGUCUAAAACCUGUCAACCAUAAGAUUAAAACUGUACAACUUUAUUUGACUUUAUAAAAUAAUCAAAACCUGAUCCGAGUCCUCCUCUUCCUCCUCGUCCUCAUCUAACAUUUUUGAUAUCAAGUCCUUGUCUUGGUCUUCAAUCAGUUUAGAACAGUAUGCUGACACUAAGGCUUCAUCCCUUAGAACUUUCAUAACAGUGUACGCUGAAUUAGCUCCCUUCAUGAACUCCAUUUUUAAUGAUAUCCUAAAUACCAUUCUCAUACCCACUAAUGUUUCCAAUUCUUUUGGAAUGUCAGAAACCUAACAAAAAAAAAUAACAUACAUUCUAGUAAGAAAUAUCAUCUCAUACUCUGUAUGUACGUGUUUAGUUUAGAAGAAAUUUAAUUUUACCUUAUUAUACUUUGUGUACAAACUGUGUGCUGGGAUACCAACUAAUUCAGAACACUCCCUAUCCCAUAAUAGGAAGGGAGCAUCAUCUAGACCUUUAUCUAGAACAAUAACUCUGACCCGAUACCUUGCCAUUCCUUCUUUAUAUUUCUUAUCACAAUUGGUACAAAUCAGUUCACCUGAUUCGUCUGAAAGUUUUCUGUUACAUCCCGGUGACAUGCAAGAAAUGUACAUCCAUCCGAAAGAACCUUCAAUUGCAACAAUUUCAGCAGAUUAGAUACUGUAGUUACAGUCAAAGCACCCCUGGUAAAGUCAUCUAGGCCUGCUGAUUGAGACAGCACUGUUGCUGUACUUAUACUGCGCAAAGGACUGUUUGGAGCAGUUAACCUACAGGUGAUACGAACUGAAGAUAAGGUGGAGUGGGGAGUGGAUGUCUCCAUAGUCAUAUGCUUAUAUACAAUGUAAUACUGCAUUUCAAAAUCUAUGAUGUUAUCUUGGAAGUAUGAAUGCUGCGGACAACCUUUCAGUUUUCAAGAGCAUGGUGAUCAGACUUGAGUCUCUUUAUUAUGAGUGUAUUUAUAUUUAUUUAUUCGAGAUUUGAGAAGUAUGUUUUCGAAGAAGUCUUUAAUAUAAAGAGUCUCUUUAGAAGUCUGUAACUAAUAGAAGUCUAUUUAAAAUGCUUUAUUUUAGUUGGUAUUACCAAAAAAUUAGCCGGCAUAAUUUAAUUGCACGCGUUAAUCUUUAUUGAGCGCCAUUUACUGUAGACUUGAGUUUAUAUAUAUGAAGUGACGUCGUUUCA